AGUGAACGCUGGCGGCAGGCCUAACACAUGCAAGUCGAACGGCAGCACAGGAGAGCUUGCUCUCUGGGUGGCGAGUGGCGGACGGGUGAGGAAUAUAUCGGAAUCUACCCUUUCGUGGGGGAUAACGUAGGGAAACUUACGCUAAUACCGCAUACGAACUGAGGUUGAAAGCGGCGGACCGCAAGGCGUCGCGCGGAUGGAUGAGCCGAUAUCCGAUUAGCUAGUUGGCGGGGUAAAGGCCCACCAAGGCGACGAUCGGUAGCUGGUCUGAGAGGAUGAUCAGCCACACUGGAACUGAGACACGGUCCAGACUCCUACGGGAGGCAGCAGUGGGGAAUAUUGGUCAAUGGGCGAGAGCCUGAACCAGCCAAGUAGCGUGCAGGAAGACGGCCCUAUGGGUUGUAAACUGCUUUUAUAAGGGAAUAAAGUGAGUCUCGUGAGACUUUUUGCAUGUACCUUAUGAAUAAGGACCGGCUAAUUCCGUGCCAGCCGCCGCGGUAAUAC
rnacentral:rRNA from 1 species